UACGUAGGGGGCUAGCGUUGUCCGGAAUCAUUGGGCGUAAAGCGCGCGUAGGCGGCCGUGUAAGUCACUUGUGAAAUCCCGGGGCUCAACCGCGGGCCUGCAGCCGAUACGGGCAGGCUAGAGUUCGGUAGGGGAGACUGGAAUUCCUGGUGUAGCGGUGAAAUGCGCAGAUAUCAGGAGGAACACCGGUGGCGAAGGCGGGUCUCUGGGCCGAUACUGACGCUGAGGAGCGAAAGCGUGGGGAGCGAACAGG
rnacentral:rRNA from 1 species